rnacentral:rRNA from 1 species
AGGAGAGUUUGAUCCUGGCUCAGGAUGAACGCUAGCGGCAGGCUUAACACAUGCAAGUCGAGGGGCGGCGCGGUGUAGCAAUACACUGGCGGCGACCGGCGGAAGGGUGCGUAACGCGUGAGCAACUUGCCCGUCACUGGGGGAUAGGCACUGGAAACGGUGUGUAAUACCCCAUAUGAUACGUUUCUGCAUGGGGAUGUAUUAAAAGAUUCAUUGGUGACGGAUGGGCUCGCGUGACAUUAGCUAGUCGGCGGGGUAACGGCCCACCGAGGCUACGAUGUCUAGGGGUUCUGAGAGGAAGGUCCCCCACACUGGAACUGAGACACGGUCCAGACUCCUACGGGAGGCAGCAGUGAGGAAUAUUGGUCAAUGGGCGGAAGCCUGAACCAGCCAUGCCGCGUGCAGGAAUAAGGCCCUAUGGGUCGUAAACUGCUUUUCUUUGGGGGCAAUAAGGAUCACGAGUGGUCCGAUGAGAGUACCAGGGGAAUAAGCAUCGGCUAACUCCGUGCCAGCAGCCGCGGUAAUACGGAGGAUGCGAGCGUUAUCCGGAUUUAUUGGGUUUAAAGGGUGCGUAGGCGGAUGCGUAAGUCAGUGGUGAAAUACUCUCGCUCAACGAGGGGGCUGCCAUUGAUACUGCGAAUCUGGAGUUCCGUUGCCGUGGGAGGAAUGAGUAGUGUAGCGGUGAAAUGCAUAGAUAUUACUCAGAACACCGAUUGCGAAGGCAUCUCACGAAGCGGCGACUGACGCUGAGGCACGAAAGCGUGGGGAUCGAACAGGAUUAGAUACCCUGGUAGUCCCCU